CCGGUCGUCGUCUAGCCGCGGCCGCCGCGCUGCCGAGCCGGGCGCCGUCCGUCCGCAGAGCCGCUCCGCCGUCCGAGCGCGCCUACCGCCAGCUGGGGGUCCCCAACGGUAGCGGCGGCAACUGGCGGAAGUGACGCGCUGACUGACAGUGACUCAGCCAUCCGCCUGCCUCGGCCCGUGCGGGCUCGGGGGUGCCCGGAGAGCGGCCACAGCCGUUAGUGUCACCUCCUGCUCCGCUACGGUUUUGCAUUUCUCGUAACCGUAUUAAAAUAUUUCCCGUCAAUUUUCUGAAUUAAAGCGUCAAAAGCGAGCGCUCCCAAACAUUUCCCAACUGUAAGCGCGCCAGAAGUAACGAAGUGCCCUCUGACAAAGAGCUAAUGCAUUCUGAAAUACAAAAUUUAGCACCCUUAAACUAAGUUAGCAUAAGUUAGUGAGAAGAUGCGAGCUUACACCAGAAGUGUUAAAAGCCGUGCCUGACAGUCUGUGGUUCCCACAUGCCACGUUGAAACUACAACAGCUUUUUCUGUCAUGCAGUGCCAGCAGCCAUAGGUGGUGGGUUUAAUAAAGCAUUUAAGGAAAUUUGGAUCUAGUUAGUAAAAAUCCUCUCAGGAAAAGCUUUUCUUCCCAUGAAAAACUGACAAAGAAUAUGGGAAAGGAAAAAAAACGAUAGAAGUAGGGUGGGAUUAAUCGAAACUUCCAUAUUGCCAUUAGCUGGGAGGCGUUUGUUGCAGGUUUUCCAACAUGGACUCUAAAUUUUCUCUAGAGAUAUAUUUAUAAGACUCAUUAAGAGGAUUUACAUUUAGAAUCUGAAGAAGAGAGAGUCACAAUCCCACAGAAAAUUAGCCUGGUUUUUAAUCAGAUCUAAAACUGCAUUUUCCUGCUAGAAGACUUGGUAUCAUUAGGAGGUGCCAUACAAAAACAAUAAAAUGUCCGGGGUCAGGGGAAGCGACCUCUCAGGAGGUCUGUAUUUGCUGUCGGCCUGCUUUCACAGCAGAUUUCUCCCCUUGAAGAGCUAAU
rnacentral:lncRNA from 1 species